UACGAAGGGGGCUAGCGUUGCUCGGAAUCACUGGGCGUAAAGCGCACGUAGGCGGCUUUUUAAGUCAGGGGUGAAAUCCUGGAGCUCAACUCCAGAACUGCCUUUGAUACUGGGAAGCUUGAGUCCGGAAGAGGUGAGAGGAACUCCGAGUGUAGAGGUGAAAUUCGUAGAUAUUCGGAAGAACACCAGUGGCGAAGGCGGCUCACUGGUCCGGUACUGACGCUGAGGUGCGAAAGCGUGGGGAGCAAACAGG
rnacentral:rRNA from 1 species